UACGAAGGGGGCUAGCGUUGCUCGGAAUCACUGGGCGUAAAGCGCACGUAGGCGGCUUCUUAAGUCAGGGGUGAAAUCCUGGAGCUCAACUCUAGAACUGCCUUUGAUACUGGGAGGCUCGAGUCCGGAAGAGGUGAGUGGAACUGCGAGUGUAGAGGUGAAAUUCGUAGAUAUUCGCAAGAACACCAGUGGCGAAGGCGGCUCACUGGUCCGGUACUGACGCUGAGGUGCGAAAGCGUGGGGAGCAAACAGG
rnacentral:rRNA from 1 species